rnacentral:lncRNA from 1 species
GACAAUUAACCGCCGAUACAGAGAGAGAGAGAGGGGUUGAUGAAAUAGGGUUUUCCCCUCUCUAAGGUUUCUAGAGAGAGAAAGUGAUUUGAGAGAGCUAGAGAGAGAGAGGGGUUAUGGCCUGGGGUUUUCGGAUGCAGAGAGAAGCAUUAAGAACCGAUAUCUUAAGACAGUUACAAAAUCACCCUUGGGAUAGUUAGUAAUAUCUGAUUUAAGCAUCAACUUUGUGAUGACAAUAGACCGCUCAAAAGAUUUGUGCUCCCGCUGGAGUACACUGUCUAUUUAAAUGGAC